CUAAACUGUUGGAUUUUGGCAGCAUCUUGGACUUUAGAGAGGAGGGUGAUAACACCAUAGUUCAACCUGCUGACAGGUUCAUUCACUUUGUCUUCUUCAUCCCAUAGAGCAGGAUCCAGUGGGAAAGAGUUGCCCAGCUCAGGACCAAACAAUUUUUUGUAAUAUUCAGUUGCAUGAGCAAGUAAAUCAGAAUCUCCUUCUAUGGAUCUAUCACCAUCUUCCAAUUUCAAGAUAAGGUUUCUUCUUUUUCUACCAUUAGCUAUUCUGUGGAAGUACACAGUAUUGAUGUCUCCUUCAUGUAGCAAUCUAUCAUGAGAUCUUUGUUCCAAUACAGUUCUUCUUCUUCACUUAUUUUGAAUAAUUCAGAGAUUAGCCAAGACUUUCUUAGCAUCUGAUCCUGAAGAAGAGGUGCUUCUUCUUCAAACUGUUCCAGCACCAACAACUCUUCUUGCAUGUCUCUUUUCUUUUUCUUUUGUUCACAUUGCCUGUUGAACCCCCAGUCUUUAAAUUACUGCUUAAAGUGUUUCAAUUUUUUUUGAAUUCUUUCAAGAGCUGAGGUAGCAUAACAAGGUUUAUUCCAAAUUUUAGCAACUAGAGAUUUGAAUUCCUAAUCUUUCAGCCAGGAGUUCUCAAACUUAAAAGAGAUUUUUCUAUUAGGUAUCCCAUAUUGGUUAGAAAGAAUUAAAGGGUUGUGAUCAGAGAUCUCCCUAGGGAGUUUGUAAAGAAAGGCAGUAGGGAAUAAGUUCUCCCACUGUUUAGAGAUUAGAAUUCUGUCCAACCUCUCUAAGGUAGGGUUCUCCUGGUUAUUUGACCAGGUAUAUUUACCACCAACCAAAUGCAUGUCCAACAAUUCAUAUGUGGAAAUGAUGUUGUUAAAGAGAUCAGUAUGUUUGUGUA